rnacentral:rRNA from 1 species
AUACGGAGGGUGCAAGCGUUAAUCGGAAUUACUGGGCGUAAGGCGUACGUAGGCGGUUUGUUAAGUCAGAUGUGAAAGCCCCGGGCUUAACCUGGGAACUGCAUUUGAAACUAGUAGACUAGAGUAUGGUAGAGGGGGGUAGAAUUCCUAGUGUAGCGGUGAAAUGCGUAGAUAUUAGGAGGAAUACCAGUGGCGAAGGCGGCCCCCUGGACCAAUACUGACGCUGAGGUACGAAAGCGUGGGGAGCGAACAGGAUUAGAUACCCGAGUAGUCC